GACGAACGCUGGCGGCGUGCCUAAUACAUGCAAGUUGAGCGCUGAAGGUUGGUACUUGUACCAACUGGAUGAGCAGCGCACGGGUGAGUAACGCGUGGGGAAUCUGCCUUUGAGCGGGGGACAACAUUUGGAAACGAAUGCUAAUACCGCAUAAAAACUUUAAACACAAGUUUUAAGUUUGAAAGAUGCAAUUGCAUCACUCAAAGAUGAUCCCGCGUUGUAUUAGCUAGUUGGUGAGGUAAAGGCUCACCAAGGCGAUGAUACAUAGCCGACCUGAGAGGGUGAUCGGCCACAUUGGGACUGAGACACGGCCCAAACUCCUACGGGAGGCAGCAGUAGGGAAUCUUCGGCAAGGGGCGAAAGUCUGACCGAGCAACGCCGCGUGAGUGAAGAAGGUUUUCGGAUCGUAAAACUCUGUUGGUAGAGAAGAACGUUGGUGAGAGUGGAAAGCUCAUCAAGUGACGGUAACUACCCAGAAAGGGACGGCUAACUACGUG
rnacentral:rRNA from 1 species